rnacentral:rRNA from 1 species
GUGAAGUCAUUGAUGCCAUGCUUCCAGGAAAAGCCUCUAAGCUUCAGAUUUGAUGGAAUCGUACCCCAAACCGACACAGGUGGUCGGGUAGAGAAUACCAAGGCGCUUGAGAGAACUCGGGUGAAGGAACUAGGCAAAAUGGUACCGUAACUUCGGGAGAAGGUACGCUCUUGAUGGUGAAGUCCCUCGCGGAUGGAGCUGACGAGAGUCGCAGAUACCAGGUGGCUGCAACUGUUUAUUAAAAACACAGCACUGUGCAAAAUCGCAAGAUGACGUAUACGGUGUGACGCCUGCCCGGUGCCGGAAGGUUAAUUGAUGGGGUUAGCGUAAGCGAAGCUCUUGAUCGAAGCCCCGGUAAACGGCGGCCGUAACUAUAACGGUCCUAAGGUAGCGAAAUUCCUUGUCGGGUAAGUUCCGACCUGCACGAAUGGCGUAAUGAUGGCCACGCUGUCUCCACCCGAGACUCAGUGAAAUUGAAAUCGCUGUGAAGAUGCAGUGUACCCGCGGCUAGACGGAAAGACCCCGUGAACCUUUACUACAGCUUGGCACUGAACAUUGAACCUACAUGUGUAGGAUAGGUGGGAGGCUAUGAAGACGUGACGCUAGUUGCGUUGGAGCCGUCCUUGAAAUACCACCCUUGUAUGUUUGAUGUUCUAACUUAGACCCAUUAUCUGGGUUGAGGACAGUGCCUGGUGGGUAGUUUGACUGGGGCGGUCUCCUCCCAAAGAGUAACGGAGGAGCACGAAGGUGGGCUAAUCACGGUUGGACAUCGUGAGGUUAGUGCAAUGGCAUAAGCCCGCUUAACUGCGAGAAUGACGGUUCGAGCAGGUGCGAAAGCAGGUCAUAGUGAUCCGGUGGUUCUGUAUGGAAGGGCCAUCGCUCAACGGAUAAAAGGUACUCCGGGGAUAACAGGCUGAUACCGCCCAAGAGUUCAUAUCGACGGCGGUGUUUGGCACCUCGAUGUCGGCUCAUCACAUCCUGGGGCUGAAGUCGGUCCCAAGGGUAUGGCUGUUCGCCAUUUAAAGUGGUACGCGAGCUGGGUUUAGAACGUCGUGAGACAGUUCGGUCCCUAUCUGCCGUGGGCGUUGGAAGAUUGAAGGGGGCUGCUCCUAGUACGAGAGGACCGGAGUGGACGAACCUCUGGUGUUCGGGUUGUGUCGCCAGACGCAUUGCCCGGUAGCUAAGUUCGGAAUCGAUAACCGCUGAAAGCAUCUAAGCGGGAAGCGAGCCCUGAGAUGAGUCUUCCCUGACAGUUUAACUGUCCUAAAGGGUUGUUCGAGACUAGAACGUUGAUAGGCAGGGUGUGUAAGCGUUGUGAGGCGUUGAGCUAACCUGUACUAAUUGCCCGUGAGGCUUAACCAUACAACACCCAAGGGGUUUUGUA